rnacentral:rRNA from 1 species
CUUAAAGAGCUUGCUUUUUAAGCUUAGUGGCGAACGGGUGAGUAACACGUGAGCAACCUGCCUUUCAGUGUGGAAUAACGUUUGGAAACGAACGCUAAUACCGCAUGAUGCAGCGAGAGGGCAUCCUUUUGCUGCCAAAGAUUUAUCGCUGAAAGAUGGGCUCGCGUCCGAUUAGCUAGUUGGUGAGGUAACGGCUCACCAAGGCCGCGAUCGGUAGCCGGACUGAGAGGUUGAACGGCCACAUUGGGACUGAGACACGGCCCAGACUCC